CAUCGAUCAUCGAUAAUAAAAUAUCACAUUUUACACAAAAGGGUCACCUCAUUUUCAACAAUCUGAACUAACAUAUCCACCUUACGUAUCACAAAAUCUCCAGUUGCACUGUCAUAUUUACAGUUUCCAAAAUAAAAUAAAGAAAACAACCAUAAAAAUGAAAAGGUGGAAUUCAUUCAACAAUGACAACCAACCAUAUACAAACAUAUGACCCAAUAAAUAUAAUACAAGCAAGUUACAUUUAAUACAUUUAACAGAUUUUUUCUAUUUUUUUAAUUAUAGCGGAAUCUUUCUUUCCUUUCUUUCUCCACCUUCUUUCUUCUUCUGGUUACACACAUUGAAAGAAUCUAGACAACAAAAGGGAACACGACUUUAUCGAACUUUACAAGAAAAGACAAAUUUCACAUGACGUGGCUGUUUAUUAUUGGCCAUUCACUUGUACCAAGAUCUACCUAUUUGCCUCCCAAUCAAUUUCCACUUUACGACAAAGAGCAACAAUCACAUGGGAAUGGGCCGCGUCACAUUCUAUCACGCGCUUCACACUUUACGCGCUGUUGACUUUAACGUUCAAUAAUUAAGACGCGUAGUCCGUCACGCGCCACACUUUCACCGAUCUGUCUAAACUCCCACUGUACACUAUCCACCGUUGAUCUGCCUUAUCACCGUCGUCGACAUCGUCCUGUGUUGAAUUAAGCUUGAAACUAAAGAUAGCUUGAGGAGCAAGCUAAGGAAACCUAAUCCUACCGAGAUAUGGAAAAGGAAACAUAAUGAGUUUAGGAGUUAUCUAAAAGUUGUGUUACCAAAUAGGAUUAGGAAUACAUAAGCUCUAUAUAAGUAGAUAUUGAGUUGUGAUAUCACUUACUAGAGUUUAGAGAUUGAGAGCUUGAGUUUUGAGUUAUUUUCUCAAGUUAUUAAUAAGAGAGCAAUUCUUAUUUGAAUCUUUAAGUUCUAUAUUUGGUAUCAGAGCCUUCCAAAAGCAGAAGCAAUGGGAGACUUAUCAAUUGUGACGACGGUGAAACCGAAGGAGGGUGGAUCCACGAUCAAGUGCCCCAUGUUAACCUCAUCUAACUAUAUCGUGUGGGCCAUCAGAAUGAAGAACGUACUUAAGAUACAUAAGGUUUGGAGCAUCAUUGAAAUCGAAACAGAGGAAGAAGAUAAGAAUGAUUUGGCGAUUGGUUUAAUGUUUCAAGCGAUACCCGAAAGUCUGAUACUACAGGUUGGGGAGCUAAGCACGGCAAAGAAGGUGUGGGAGGCUGUUAAGAUGCGACAUGUUGGUGCAGAACGAGUCAAAGAAGCCAGACUUCAGACAUUAAUGUCUGAAUUUGACAGACUCGUGAUGAAAGACGCUGAAAAAAUAGAUGACUUUGCUGGAAAGUUAUCUGAAAUUUCAUCAAAAUCUGCUGCACUAGGAGAAGAAAUUGAAGAACCAAAACUAGUUAAGAAAUUUCUUAAGAGCCUUCCACGUAAGAAAUACAUACAUAUAGUCGCAUCAUUGGAGCAAGUGCUUGAUCUUAAGACUACCAGUUUCGAGGAUAUUGUUGGACGUCUAAAGGCUUAUGAAGAGAGAGUAGCCGAAGAAGAAGAGAAUCACGAAGAUCAGGGGAAACUCAUGUACACAAACACAGAUUCUCAAUCUGUGCGAGAGUAUCACGAUGAUUACAGAGGAAACAGAGGACGAGGCGGUAGAUCAUAUAGAGGAAGAGGUCGCGGACGUGGCUAUGGAGGCAGAGAUACUUCGAGAGUAAUGUGUUUUCGGUGUGACAAGAUGGGUCACUACGCCUCAACAUGUCCCGAUCGUCUUCUGAAGUUGCAAGAGGCACAAGAACUGGAGAAAGAUGAUACACAAAACGCAGACGAGCUCAUGUUGAAUGAGAUAGUCUACUUAAACGAAGAUAAAGUCGUCCCAAGCAAGUUCGAGACUCAUGAUGAAAAGGAGAACAUGUGGUACUUGGAUAAUGGAGCCAGCAACCACAUGACGGGAGAUCGAAGAUAUUUCACAACGAUCAACGAGUCCAUAACUGGAAAGGUAAAAUUUGGCGAUGACUCUCGGAUCGACAUUAAGGGGAAAGGGUCCAUAGAGUUUACUGAUAUAAAUGGGGAACCAAGAAUCAUGUGCGAUGUGUAUUAUAUUCCUGACUUGAAAAGUAACAUCAUCAGUCUCGGGCAAGCCACUGAAGCGGGAUGCGAUAUAAGACUAAAGGGAGAAUGCUUGACUAUGCAUGAUCGAGAUGGAAAGCUACUAGUAAACGCCAUAAGAUCUAGGAACCGUUUAUACAAGGUUCAUAUGGGCAUAAAAGACAAGACAUGUUUACUAUCAACAGCAACCAGCGAGUCUAUACGGUGGCAUGAGAGGUUGGGUCACGUUAACUGGGAGACCAUUGAGUCGAUGGUACAGAGAGAACUUGUGAUCGGAAUACCGCGAGUUACUAGUGAUAAAAGGGUGUGUAGCUCAUGUAUGCUUGGGAAGCAAACAAGGAAAAGCUUUCCUCAAGCCACGGCGUAUCGAGCAAGUAAAAUACUCGAACUUGUUCACGGUGAUUUGUGUGGACCCAUAACACCAAGCACACGUCCUGGGAACAAAUAUGUGUUCGUACUCAUCGACGAUCAUACACGAUACAUGUGGACUACUUUGCUAAAGGAGAAAAGUGAGGUCUUUGAGAAGUUUAAAAAGUUUAAAGCAAUGGUAGAAAAAGAGUCAAAGCAGAAGGUUCAAACGUUCAGAACGGACAGAGGGGGAGAGUUCACCUCUCAAGAGUUCAACGAGUUCUGUGCUCAAGCAGGAAUACAACGUCACUUAACAGCGCCAUACACGCCGCAGCAAAACGGGGUCGUUGAGAGACGUAACAGAACGUUGAUGGAGAUGACUCGAAGCAUUCUGAAGCACUUCGGACUUCCAAACUAUCUAUGGGGAGAGGCAGUGAGGCAUUCCACAUACAUAUUAAACCGUGUAGCUACCAGAGUGUUAAAAGACGUGACACCCUAUGAAGCUUUCCGCGCAAGAAAACCUAACCUAGCCCACAUACGGACGUUUGGAUGCAUAGGAUAUGCAAAGGUGGUGAAGCCGCACCUAAAGAAACUAGAGGACCGAUCUCUUAUCCUCAUACAUCUAGGGACCGAGCCAGGAUCAAAGGCAUAUAGGAUGCUUGAUCCACAGACGCAAAGGAUCAUUGUGAGUCGAGAUGUGAUUUUUGACGAGAGCAAAGGAUGGAAUUGGAAGAACGAGGACACAGGAGAGAAUGCGGUUAAUGAUUUCAGAAUUUGUUUAGGAAACUUUGGGAAUCAUGGAAUACUAAGCGAGGUUUCUAACGAGUUGAGUAAGGAUUCUUUGGUACAGCAACCCGAGAAGAAUGAUGAGAUGAAGAGUGAAACAGUGAUACUUGACAACGAAGAGGAUGAGGAGGAAGAAACAGAGUCUGAAACAGAGCCAGUACUAAGAAGAUCUUCUCGACAAAGUGUGAUGCCGAGAUAUUUAGAUGAUUAUGUACUGUUAAUCUCAGAAGCUGAGGAAGAAGGAGAAUAUCUUCUCAUGAGCAUAAACAGCGAGCCAAGAGAUUUCAAUGAAGCAAAGGAUUCAAAGGAGUGGAGAGACGCGUGUGUAGAUGAGCUGAAGUCAAUUGAGAAGAAUGGAACGUGGACGCUCAUUGAUCUUCCUGUCGGAGCCAAACCAAUUGGUCUGAAGUGGAUAUUUAAGAUUAAAAGGAACUCUGAUGGAAGUAUCAAUAAGUACAAAGCUAGACUUGUCGCAAAGGGCUAUGUACAAAGGCAUGGAAUAGAUUUUGAUGAAGUCUUCGCUCCUGUUGCGCGAAUAGAGACGAUCAGGUUACUCAUAAACCUUGCAGCCGCACACAACUGGGAGAUACAUCAUCUCGAUGUCAAAACGGCAUUCUUACACGGAGACUUAAAGGAAGUAGUAUACGUCACGCAACCGGAAGGGUUUGAAGUAAGUGGGUCUGAGAGUAAAGUAUACAAGCUAUAUAAAGCUUUAUACGGCCUACGACAAGCUCCUAGAGCAUGGAAUCACAAGCUUAACUCGAUCUUGCGGGAGCUUCAGUUUAUUAAAUGCGCAAAAGAACCAUCAGUCUAUCGAAGACUUGUUCAUGGAGAUCUUCUGGUCGUUGCAGUUUACGUCGAUGACCUAUUCAUUACAGAAUGUUGAAUUAAGCUUGAAACUAAAGAUAGCUUGAGGAGCAAGCUAAGGAGACCUAAUCCUACCGAGAUAUGGAAAAGGAAACAUAAUGAGUUUAGGAGUUAUCUAAAGUUGUGUUACCAAAUAGGAUUAGGAAUACAUAAGCUCUAUAUAAGUAGAUAUUGAGUUGUGAUAUCACUUACUAGAGUUUAGAGAUUGAGAGCUUGAGUUUUGAGUUAUUUUCUCAAGUUAUUAAUAAGAGAGCAAUUCUUAUUUGAAUCUUUAAGUUCUAUAUUUGGUAUCAGAACAGGUCCGUCGUGAUCCAUCAAAACAGAGAGACACGUGUGAGAUCCGUCGCCGUUUCUCCUCCAAACGCAGAUAUUAUUAUCAGCUCCGCCGCUCAAUAACAGACUCCCGGCGGAGGUGAGGCAUAGCACCGCCAUUCGAUGACCGUGAAUAGUCCCGCCGUGAGUCAAAUAUUUUUUCCGUUCCCAAAAGUUAACGGAACCGUCAGAUGAUCCGCAAUAAACCACAGCGUCGUUUAAAUUAACGGCUAACGCCGUUACGGCGCUCGUGGAAUUCAUUCAACAAUGACAACCAACCCUAUACAAACAUAUGACCCAUUCAUAAAUAUAUACAAACAAGUUACAUUUAACAGAUUUUUUUCUAUUUUUUUCUAUUUUUUUAAUUAUAGCGGAAUCUUUCUUUCCUUUCUUUCUCCACCUUCUUUCUUCUUCUGGUUACACACAUUAUUUAAAUAUGUACAAACUACAUAGAAAGAAUCUAGACAACAAAAGGGGACACGACUUUAUCGAACUUUACAAGAAAAGACAAAUUUCACAUGACGUGGCUGUUUAUUAUUGGCCGUUCACUUGUACCAAGAUCUACCUAUUUGCCUCCCAAUCAAUUUCCACUUUACGACAAAGGGAAACAAUCACAUUAGAUGGGCCGCGUAACAUUCUAUCACGCGUUUCACACCUUUACGCGCUGUUGACUUUAAUGUUCAAUAAUUAAGACGCGUAGUCCGUCACGCGCCACACUUUCACCGAUUUGUCUAAACUUCCACUGUACACUAUCCACCGUUGAUCUGCUUUAUCACCGUCGUUAACCUCGUCCUCUGCUUCUUCCACCGCCGUUAAACACUUAACAGGUCCGUCGUGAUCCAUCAAAACAGAGAGACACGUGUGAGAUCCGUCACCGUUCCUCCUCCAAACGCAGAUAUUUUUAUCAGCUCCCCCGCUCAGCAACAGACUCCCGGCGGAGGUGAGACAUA
rnacentral:lncRNA from 1 species